CCUACGGGUGGCAGCAGUGAGGAAUAUUGGUCAAUGGACGAGAGUCUGAACCAGCCAAGUCGCGUGAGGGAAGACGGCCCUACGGGUUGUAAACCUCUUUUGUCGGGGAGCAAAGCGAGUCACGUGUGCCUCAUUGAGAGUACCCUACGAAUAAGCAUCGGCUAACUCCGUGCCAGCAGCCGCGGUAAUACGGAGGAUACGAGCGUUAUCCGGAUUUAUUGGGUUUAAAGGGUGCGUAGGCGGAAGGUCAAGUGAGGCGUCAAAUUUGGGGGCUCAACCCCGGAACUGCCGUUGAAACUGUAGCCCUUGAGUGUGGGAGAGGUAGGCGGAAUGCAUGGUGUAGCGGGGAAAUGCAUAGAUAUCACGCAGAACUCCGAUUGCGAAGGCAGCAUACCGGGGUGCAACUGACGCUGAUGCACGAAAGCGUGGGUAUCGAACAGGAUUAGAUACCCUGGUAGUC
rnacentral:rRNA from 1 species